GGGGCCGUGGGGUAGCUGGUUAUCCUUCCGGCUUCGGGAGCCGGUGACCCGAGUUCAAAUCUCGGCGGCCCCA
rnacentral:tRNA from 1 species